CCCUGGUUUAAUCCCUACUCCCAGGCAAGAUCAUUUUAAUUUUUAGUCAUAGUAAAGAGAAAUUGAUACACCAAGAAACUGAGGCAGAUUAAGCUUUCAUUCAUUCUCUCAUCCCAAUGAAUUACAGUGCCAGAUUUCACCUGCAGUGUUUCAGCCUUUCAAACAGUCAUAAGUCACAGAAGGGAUAAAGGAUGGGCCACAAUGGCUGGGAAGGCAGGAUUAUGUGUUGCCCACCCACUGCAGGUGUGGCCCAGUGAUUCAGGGCUAAGGUAAUUCAGGUAGCCGUAAUCCAGGAAGAUACUUGGAACAAUGCCACAGAAGAGGGGAAGAAGUUAGGAGAAGCGUAAUGUCCCUAGGAAGGGGAGUCCUAGAUGCUGGAAGGUGACCCUGAACAUCAGGAUUGAC
rnacentral:lncRNA from 1 species